GACGAACGCUGGCGGCGUGCCUAAUACAUGCAAGUAGAACGCACAGUUUAUACCGUAGUUUGCUACACCAUAAACUGUGAGUUGCGAACGGGUGAGUAAUGCGUAGGUAAUCUGCCUGGUAGCGGGGGAUAACUAUUGGAAACGAUAGCUAAUACCGCAUAAUAUUAAUUAUUGCAUGAUAAUUGAUUGAAAGAUGCAAUUGCAUCACCACCAUCUGGACCUGCGUUGUAUUAGCUAGUAGGUGAGGUAACGGCUCACCUAGGCGGCGAUACAUAGCCGACCUGAGAGGGUGAUCGGCCACACUGGGACUGAGACACGGCCCAGACUCCUACGGGAGGCAGCAGUAGGGAAUCUUCGGCAAUGGACGAAAGUCUGACCGAGCAACGCCGCGUGGGUGAAGAAGGUUUUCGGAUCGUAAAGCUCUGUUGUAAGAGAAGAACAGGUGGGAGAGUGGAAAGUUCACUCUGUGACGGUAUCUUACCAGAAAGGGACGGCUAACUACGUG
rnacentral:rRNA from 1 species